GACGCUAAUAUCGGAUUGCGUCAUGUGAUCCUAGGUGUGGUGCUCCUGAAACUGGUUUUUCUGGAGGUUGUGCUGCCGUAGAAAAGCACUCUGGAGAUAACACCCAAGAACUGGCCCUACUCGUCAGAUGGCAGGAGUAAUUUUUGCAUGUACAUGCCUCGGUUCCACACCACUGUUCUCCUAGGGAAAGGCGGUGUGGCUUUCCGGGCUGAACCGGGCGUGCUGGGGACAGUCAUCAGCAAGCACCCAGGGCAACCGGACAUGAGUAUGCUGUCAAUUUAUGUUUGUUGACCUAUGUAAUAUCCAGAUGAAGAAUCGAAGCCCAGAGAGGUUCUGCGACCAAUAAGGCCACACAGUGGCUGCCAGGAUCCCACAGGUUUGGGGCACCUGGAUGGUUCAGUUGGUGAAGCGUCUGCCUUCGGCUCAGGUCAUAGUCUCCGGGUCCUGGGAUGGAGCCCUGUGUAUGGCUCCCUGCUCAGAGGUAAUAUUUAUGUGUCCUAAAGAAUGAAAAGUCAUACACCUUUUCUCAAGGGAAGCCUCACCGUCCCCGUGAGAGUUAUUCUGAGCCUAGUUCCAGGGAGAGAAGACAUAGGAUGCCGGACACCAAGCCUCACAUGCUGGCUGAUGAAGAACAAGAUUUAAGGAAAUUCAACAAAUAUUUACUAAACCUCUGUCCUGCCCGGCACCUGGAGCCGGUGCCCCUGCUUCUCUUCCUGAGGGUUUGCAGGGCUUACGCUUUGUAGCCCCGGUCACCUUGGGGAACAAGGGGCCCCUUCAUGAUUUUCCUCCUACUGGUCCCAGUGUUCCUACUUUUAUACAAGAGUCCAGAAGAGGGAUCCCUGGGUGGCGCAGCGGUUUGGCGCCUGCCUUUGGCCCAGGGCGCGAUCCUGGAGACCCGGGAUCGAAUCCCACAUUGGGCUUCCGGUGCAUGGAGCCUGCUUCUCCCUUUGCCUGUGUCUCUGCC